GACGAACCGAGCGAACGUUGUUCGGAAUAACUGGGCUUAAAGGGUGCGUAGGCGGGCUGUCAAGUCUGGGUUUAAAUCCCGCGGCUCAACCGUGGAACUGCCUCAGAUACUGAUGGCCUAGUGGGAGGUAGGGGCAUGCGGAACUGUAGGUGGAGCCGUGAAAUGCGUUGAUAUCUACAGGAACUCCGGUGGCGAAAGCGGCGUGCUGGACCUCUUCUGACGCUGAGGCACCAAAGCUAGGGGAGCAAGCGGG
rnacentral:rRNA from 1 species